GAAGAGGAUUUCAUAUAAUCUCCAACUGUAAAAUACAGGCUUACUCAUAAUUUCUAGAAUUUUGUAGGAAAGUUUGGCAGCAAACAUGAGAUUGGUGGUGAUUUUCGUUUUUCUCGUGGUUCUGGGAGGUGUUCUUGGCCGGGGAAUAAUUGACGAUGGGGAGAUUGCGCCAACUGAGAUGACCGAUGUGGUCCAACCCGACCAGCUGGAGAUGAUUCAAAGCGGGCCUGGAUUACGAUGGUGGUUUGGCGGCGAGUGGUGUAUUUGCAUCUUUGGAAGGUGCCAAACGGGGACUUUUUCCCGCGCAAGAAGUCAGCAACAUUGUGAUGAACUUAAUUCCAACUAAGUGAAUCUUAGAUUAGAUUAAUCUAAGAUUCCAAUUAACUUCUAAUGAAAAUAUUUCAGUCAUCAGAACUUAAUAAAUUUGUUUCCUUUAAGAGUAGGGUACAAAAUGAAUAAUGAAUAAAUAUAUUUACUCAUUAGUCAUUAUUGAUUUACAUAUUUUUUAUCUCAAAUUGGAUGGAUUUCACAAUAUACCCCAUGUAUUCAGGGUAAGAUGCAAAGUUAAUGCUGAGUAAAAUUACUUAUUCAUUCUAUACAACUAGAAUUGAUAAUGAAUACAAACUAAUUGAGUCAUUAAAAAAUUUGGGAAAUUA